CAAACCAGUGCGGCACAGACUGUGUAUGGGACGGACGUUUUCGCGCCCAUUUUAUCGAUCGCUUACAAUACAUUCGAUUGUGUGUUAUUGUGUGUGUUUUUAUUACGAAAACCUGAUUAAUAGUACACAGUCGUUAAAAAAAUAAUUAAAGUAUGAAUAGGUUAUAUUUCGUUUACUGAUUUUGUUAAUUGUUUGUUUCUUAAACUUAAAAACAUUGUGGUUUAUGGUUCGUGUAAGUUAAAUCGUGUUUUGGACGUAAAGUGAGAGUUUCGACCGCACCAUGGUGUGAAAUCCAAAAAGAAAAACACGGCAGAGACAAUCUUGAACCACGACAAACGAACGAACGAGGCAAUAUAAAAGCAAUAACAUUAAAUGCCUUAGCAAAUAUGUGUUCAUAAAACUCGAAUAACAUUAACCAAAAAAAAAAAAACGCAAAAGAACAUUGUUGUAUGUGAAGGUAAUUAUGCGAAUUUUAAUUUGAACGCGUUCAUAAAAAGCAGAAAAAUCAAUUUGUUGCUGAACGAUAAAGGACGACGACAGUAUAAAAAAAACAAUCGAAUGCAGAUAAAUAUGCGAAUUCGAAAUUCGAAUUUCGUGCGCGCGUAAGAGCGAGACGGGUGAAGACAGAGAGCUGCGUCCAAAAAUAGCGCGUUCGGAAAUAGAACUAAAAAAAUGUCCGGCCCAGAAUCAGUAGAGGCGAACGAGGCGGCGAAAGCCCACGAAUGGUGGCUGACACCAUGGAAAACUAUGGCUGACUUAGCUGAAGCGGUUGACGAUCUCAUAUGCAGCUUCGAUUAUAUGGACACAGCCAUGGACAACCUAGUGAUGCUCGUCUUCAUUUGGAUCCUGAUCUCCAUAAUCAUCCUCGGUGUCGCUAAAUGGGCGUACGGGAGAUUCAGCAAGAAGCCAGUGGAGGAGAAAGUGGAUAAACCAAAGCCUGCCGAAGAAAAGAAGAUGGCUACCGAAAUUAUCACAAGCACAGACAGUAUACUAGCAACCACAGCCAAGGUUACCAGUAAAUCAACGUUCAAGCCAACUAAACCUACAGGCUUCGUCCCGGCGACCCCGCCUAAUAAGAAGAGGCUGGGUCGCAUGUCACCGGGUCCCGAACAACUGACGUUCAAGAAACACCAGAGCAUCGUCAUCCCUACAUGCACCGGGCCCGACACACCGAGCGUGCAGUGGGUGAACGAAACAUUGACGUGGUUAUAUAAUGAUCUUGUUAUUGUGAAUGAACUUGUGCAGCAAUGGAUUGUGUCCAUGAACGAGUUCUCCAAGAAGUCCGUGGAGGAGCAAGGCAUCGGCGUGGAGUUGGUGCGCGCGCUGGACAGCCACCCGCCCAGCGUGUCCAACGUGUUCUGCGAGUGCGACUCCAAGGACGACGUGACCAUAACGUGUGACUGCGAGGCCACGCCGGCCUUCCAGCUGAAAGCCUUCAGCCAGCGCGGAGAGAAAGUAGAGGUCUCACAUUACAGGAUCAAUGUUAACAAAUUCCGCGCCCGGCUGCACGUGGUGUGCAUCACGGACAAGCUGACCGGCGAGCUGAAGUGCGACGGCUGGCCGGACGUCAAGGUGGCCCUCGCGCCUGUCGGGCCUCUGCGCCCCAACGCGGACGAGUCGGAACUACAGCAGCUUAUAAGUGAUAUAGUAGUAAGUGCCCUUCGAAACACUCACCUGUACUUCAACUUCGCGCCCUACCCCACCUGCCCCCGACUCAGACGAUAUGUGCCCGAGGCUGCGCCGCGGCUACCCCUUCAUUAUGACUCUAUGCUCCAAUCCGAGCGCCACAACAUGUACACUUCAACGCCCAACUCCACCGCGGGCUGCGUCCAGCUGCUGGGCGACAAGCGACUGCUGGUCAAGGUCGUCGGCGCUAAAGACUUAGGAGGCAAGUCAGGUUGCGUGGCGCCGUACUGCGUGGUGGAGAUGGACGAGCCGCCGCAGAAGAACCAGACCGGCUUCAAGAAGGACACCGCCAGCCCGCAGUGGGAGGAGCACUUCCUCUUCGAUCUGUCUCCACAAACCGCUGAGCUGCUGUUCGAGGUGUACGACCGCACCGGCCCGCCGUCGCCCGGCAACUCCACCUCACAGCACCGGUUCCUAGGAUUAGGUCUGGUGGGUAUAGACGAACUCCUGGCCGCGCCCUCUCAGCGACAGCAGAUAGGGCUCCAGACACGACCCAUGGAGGAGCACGACGUCAGCGGGAGCCUUACUGUUGAGUUCCUUUUCAUAGAGGGCGCUGACAUCCCCGACCUGGGCACGAAGCCGUUCAAGAUCAAGGAGAGUCUUCGCACGGUGUCGCCUCAGGGACGACUCACCACCACCACCAAGACCACCUUCCAACAAAAUGGUCACGACACCAGCCAGCUGACCGAAUCCGCCCUGCGCGAGCUAGAGCUGAGUCCGGCCAGUGCGACUAACAAGUCCACGCUCAUCAUACACUCCGUGCAGCGGGAGCCGACAAAGUCCAUUAAGGUGGAAAUUACUGAUUCUGGAAAAUUUAUCGAAGUUGAGAGGGAAGCCAUAGAGAAUAAUCUACCGGCCAUUGACAAGACGGAAUUGAAAGAACAAAAGAGUGUGACACCAAACCAAUCUCCCGCCAAAAGCGUAAGGAUAAAAGAAAAUGGCGCCAAGGCAAAUGGCGAUACCGAAGCGAUGAAACAAGGCGGUUACGUGCAGCAAGAGGAAACAAAGCCCGAGCCUGCGCCGAGACAAAAGAGAAAAAGGGACUUCUUUGGAACUAUAAAAAGAAGAUUAGGCAGAUCACGGAACCGUGGCGCCUCCCUCGAUCUCGAAGAACAGGACAUGGAGAAUCAACGUAUAAGAAGCAUUAGCGCGGAACGAAAUAGCCACGACAAAGCUCUAACUCUGCCAAAUAGAAACGUGUACUCGGCGGGUGCGUCCCCCGCACAGUCUGGAGAUGAAUCUAGAACUUCACGAAGAUCGUCCCUCAGCGAAGUUUCCGGAUUCAGUACAGCAUCAGCGCGGACCUUCAUCCAUGAAGCCUCCACGUUAGUCCUGGAGACCCUAGAGGCAGGGAUCAAGAAACACUACUUGGUGCCUCUGACAGUAGCGCAGAGAUCAAGAUGGAGGCGAAAGGGCGUCAAACUGCAUAUUUAUAACGAGCACACUUUCAUCGCUAAACAUCUUAGCGGUGGAACAGUGUGCGAAGUGUGCAACAAGACAGUCGCGCGGCGCCUCGGCAAGCAAGGCUACGAGUGCCGCGACUGCGCCAUGAAGUGCCACAAGCACUGCCACGUGCGCGUGCCCACCGCCUGCGCCAACUCCACCGUGCACAAUAUGGAGCUAUCCAUGCUCCCAGUGCUAAGCGAAUAAUGAAGCUAAGAAGACUGCAAGAAAAAUAUAUAAAAAAAACUAAAAAAAAAUCGCGAGCUAUUCAGGUCCUUUGAGAGUACUAAAGGCUUACAUCACGUCGCCAUACACGGACAAAAAUAUAAGAAUGUUGUUGUAAUCUUCGGCUUAUGCACACGUGAAUAAUACAAAAUAAACUAAUUAUUCGCCUGUUUAGAGUGUAUCUAAAUUUAAAAAAAAUGUUGAAAUAUAAUAUGUACUAGGUAUAUCAAUUACAAUCCUUCGCGAGGAGUGUACUUAUUUCUGUUUUGUGAACCGAAAUAACUUCAAGGUAAUUUAGUUUUAACUUCGAGUUGGACUGAUAAUUUCUAAUUAAUUUAAAUUAAUAAGAGAAAGAUUUUUAAUAUAAAUAUCUGGUAUUUUUACGAGCAUGAUCCUUGUUCACAUUGACCUCAAAACCAUGAUAAUUUCUUAGUUAAAAUUAUGACGUCAAAUGUAGAAAACUUAAAAUAAACGUAACAAAAUGGAUUUCUUGUUUAAUUAUGAAUUAAAUAUUCAAAGUACACACUCUAAGCAGACGAUUAUUCUAAAUAAAUUUAUACUUAAAUUAUUUAAUUUAUUAAGAUUCAAGUACAACUUUUCUCAUAUUGUACGCUACUUACUUAUAUACAUAAAGGCUUUUUUUUUACAAAAAUAUAUUUAUAAUUAUUGUAAACUUUAAUAUAAUAUGAAAAUGUAUAUUAAUAUUAAGAAAAGUAGUAAUCCCAACGUCCCUUAGGGUUUUAUACGGACAAUCGAUUGUGUAAGAAAUGUCGAUUGUAAAAUUAACGGUAACUUUUAAAAAUACUAAUUUUAAAAUAUGGCGCCAUGUAACCACCGCUUGCUACAGCCAUUUUUGAUCCAAUGGUACAUAAUAAUUUUACAAUUUCAGUUAGUAAAUAAACGCCAGUUUGAUAACUGAGUCGUAUAAAUAUACUAAAAAUAAACACUUAAAGGAAGUAUUGAUGGUGUGUUCUUCGUUUUUCAUACAAAAAUUAAACAACACUGCCAACUCUAUAGCAUUCAGUAGGUGCCUUUUUCUCUCUGUGGAUUUUGAUUGAAUUGUUCGUAUAAACACCGCCUUAAAAAUUAUUAAAAAAAAUAUUCUUACCGCUUUUUCUCACUAUUGGCGUAAAUAUUAGAUUAGAUUAGAAAUCGCUAGAACCCACCUUAAAAACCAUUUCCAAACGCAUCAUUCUCGUUACCAUAAUAUUAUAUAUAUUUGAAAAAUACGCCAAAGUAUAAUAAAAGGAGGAGUUUUUUACAUCUCUACCUCAAUUUGACGUUACGACAAUAUAAUGUAAAUUUGUUACCAGUAUAAAAAUAAUUUGUUUAUGUUUUUUCUAAUAUGUCUAAAACCGUGAAACGUGUCUAUUUAUUUGUUUAAUUUUAGUAAGUUUAAGUUACCUUUAUCGAAUAUUAAAAAUAACUAUAUGUGUAUUUAGUUUUGUAAACGCGGUCCAAAUGAAUUCAUCACAAUUCUGUUUUAAAAAAACUUGACAAAAUAAAUGAUACGAUAAUUUACUUAGUUGUUAAGCGCUUGCGCACAAAUAUAUUCUCGAAUAGUGCAAUAAAUUGUCAUGCUUUAAAAAGGCAUAACUUAUAAAGGUCAGUUUCCAUGAAGCUAGUAAAAAAAUCACGCUGUAAGCUUCGAUUUUUAAAAUUCUACCACGGAAAUGCUAUUUUAAUAUGGCAACACUUGACCACCAUGUUUUGUUCGAUUUCUCUGUAUUUAAUGUGAUUUUGUUUAUACGAGUGUUUGAUAUUUUUACUAUUUAGUGUAUUUGCUACAAAUAUUUUUGAAAAAUAUACAGCCUAGAAUGAAUUAGAUGAUUAUUGUUAUUCCUUUUUAUAAUUUAUUGUAAGUCUGGUACAUAAAAAGAAAAAAAUAUUUAUAUAGGUAGUUAUGUUUAAAUAUUUGUAGCAACUUCUUUUUUUUGUUCUUUUAGUAAAUGUACAAGAUUCAGAAACUUAAUGACCAUGAUAUCUGGUGAAAGAUUGUUAACGCAUACCUAUUUAUUGAGGAGGUUAAAACUACGACAAGAUAUUAUUUAUAAAUGUUGGCAUUGUUUUCUGUAAUUUUAUUUUCCUCUUCUUUUGAAUAAAAAAAUGCCUUUUUUA